rnacentral:rRNA from 1 species
AUUGAACGCUGGCGGCAUGCUUUACACAUGCAAGUCGAACGGUAACAGGUUAAGCUGACGAGUGGCGAACGGGUGAGUAAUGCAUCGGAACGUGCCCGGUCGUGGGGGAUAACGCAGCGAAAGCUGCGCUAAUACCGCAUACGAUCUGAGGAUGAAAGCGGGGGACCGUAAGGCCUCGCGCGAUCGGAACGGCCGAUGUCGGAUUAGGUAGUUGGUGGGGGAAAGGCUAACCAAGCCAACGAUCUGUAGCUGGUCUGAGAGGACGACCAGCCACACUGGGACUGAGACACGGCCCAGACUCCUACGGGAGGCAGCAGUGGGGAAUUUUGGACAAUGGGCGAAAGCCUGAUCCAGCAAUGCCGCGUGCAGGAAGAAGGCCUUCGGGUUGUAAACUGCUUUUGUACGGAGCGAAAAGGUCUCCUCUAAUACAGGGGGCUCAUGACGGUACCGUAAGAAUAAGCACCGGCUAACUACGUGCCAACAGCCGCCGUAA